rnacentral:rRNA from 1 species
CGGAUUGGAGUCUGNAACCCGACUCCAUGAAGCUGGAUUCGCUAGUAAUCGCGCAUCAGCCACGGCGCGGUGAAUACGUUCCCGGGCCUUGUACACACCGCCCGUCAAGCCAUGGAAGCCGGGAGUGCCUGAAGUGCGUGAGCGCAAGCAGCGCCCUAAGGUAAAACCGGUGACUGGGGCUAAGUCGUAACAAGGUACC